UACGGGGGGGGCAAGCGUUGUUCGGAAUUACUGGGCGUAAAGGGCCAGUAGGCGGCCAACUAAGUCGGAUGUGAAAUCCCCAGGCUUAACCUGGGAACUGCAUCCGAUACUGGAUGGCUUGAAUUCGGGAGAGGGAUGCAGAAUUCCAGGUGUAGCGGUGAAAUGCGUAGAUAUCAGGAGGAACAUCGGUGGUGUAGACGGCUUUCUGGACCGUAACUGACGCUGAGACACGAAAGCGUGGGUAGCAAACAGG
rnacentral:rRNA from 1 species